AACGAACGCUGGCGGCAUGCCUAACACAUGCAAGUCGAACGAGACCUUCGGGUCUAGUGGCGCACGGGUGCGUAACGCGUGGGAAUCUGCCCUUCGGUUGGGAAUAACUGAGAGAAAUUUCAGCUAAUACAUUAUAAUCUCUUCGGACAAAAGAUUUAUCGCCGAGGGAUGGGCCCGCGUAGGAUUAGGUGGUUGGGGGGGGAAUGGCCUACCAAGGCGAGGUUCCUUAGCUGGUCUGAGAGGAUGAUCAGCAACACUGGGACUGAGACACGGCCCAGACUCCUACGGGAGGGAGCAGAAGGGAAUAUUAGGGGAUGGGCGAAAGCCUGAUCCAGCAAUGCCGCGUGAGUGAUGAAGGCCUUAGGAUUGUAAAGCUCUUUUACCCGAGAUGAUAAUGACGGUACCGGGAGAAGAAGCACCGGCUAACUCCGUG
rnacentral:rRNA from 1 species